CGUCAAAUCAGCACGGCCCUUACGUCCAGGGCUACACACGUGUUACAAUGGUCACUACAAAGGGCAGCUACCGGGCGACCGGAUGUUAAUCUCGAAAAGUGGUCUCAGUUCGGAUUGAAGUCUGCAACUCGACUUCAUGAAGCUGGAUUCGCUAGUAAUCGCGCAUCAGCCACGGCGCGGUGAAUACGUUCCCGGGCCUU
rnacentral:rRNA from 1 species